CGCAAAUAAUGCGACAUGCAUAGAGGGUGAAGAUGCAAAUCCACUUGUCUAUUACAAGUGCAAUUGUACCGAAGGUUAUUACGGAUACAAGUGCACCAUCGUUGAAUGUGGGAAAAAUGCCGUGUGCUUUAAUGCUACUAGUGGUUUACCCGUGAUUGAGAGAAAUGAUGUAUGCGAUGAAGAUAUUGGUCUUCACUGCAAAUGCAUAGAUGGAUUCGUAGGCGACGGGUUUACAUGCACCAAUAAGACGAAAUGAAGUUCUCCAAAAGGAAAUUAUCAAAGAAGAGCACAGAUGGAAGCACAAUUAAUUUCGUUGGACAUGAAUUUUAAAAUAUCUGAGAUUGGUGUGUCAAUUCAAUCAUUAUAAUUGAAAAUAAAACAUAUUGGCAU